GAUGAACGCUAGCUACAGGCUUAACACAUGCAAGUCGAGGGGCAGCGGGAUUGAAGCUUGCUUCAAUUGCCGGCGGCCGGCGCACGGGUGAGUAACGCGUAUCCAACCUUCCGUACACUCAGGGAUAGCCUUUCGAAAGAAAGAUUAAUACCUGAUGGUAUGAUGAGAUUGCAUGAUAUCAUCAUUAAAGAUUUAUCGGUGUACGAUGGGGAUGCGUUCCAUUAGGUAGUAGGCGGGGUAACGGCCCACCUAGCCAACGAUGGAUAGGGGUUCUGAGAGGAAGGUCCCCCACAUUGGAACUGAGACACGGUCCAAACUCCUACGGGAGGCAGCAGUGAGGAAUAUUGGUCAAUGGACGAGAGUCUGAACCAGCCAAGUAGCGUGAAGGAUGAAGGUCCUACGGAUUGUAAACUUCUUUUAGAAGGGAAUAAACCCUCCCACGUGUGGGAGCUUGUAUGUACCUUAUGAAUAAGCAUCGGCUAACUCCGUG
rnacentral:rRNA from 1 species